rnacentral:rRNA from 1 species
AUUGAACGCUGGCGGCAGGCCUAACACAUGCAAGUCGAGCGGAGCGACGGACGGGUGAGUAAUGCCUAGGAAUCUGCCUGGUAGUGGGGUAUAACGUCCGGAAACGGGCGCUAAUACCGCAUACUAUCAGAUGAGCCUAGGGCGGAUUCGCUAGUUGGUGGGGUAAAGGCCUACCAAGGCGCCGAUCCGUAACUGGUCUGAGAGGAUGAUCAGUCACACUGUAACUGAGACACGGUCCAGAUUCCUACGGGAGGCAGCAGUGGGGAAUAGUGGACAAGGGGCGAAAGCCUGAUCCAGCCAUGCCGCGUGUGUGAAGAAGGUCUUCGGAUUGUAAAGCACUUUAAGUUGGGAGGCGUUACCAACAGAAUAAGCACCGGCUAACUUCGUGCCAGCCGCCGCGGUAAUUC